GAUCAUGGCUCAGAACGAACGCUGGCGGCGCGUCUUAAGCAUGCAAGUCGAACGGCAAGAGGUAGCAAUACCUCCUAGAGUGGCGGACUGGUGAGUAACACGUGGGUGACAUACCCUUCAGAUGGGGAUAGCUAUUAGAAAUAGUAGAUAAUACCGAAUACGAGCACAGGGGUUAGAGAUCUGUGAGGAAAGGAGCUAAGGCUCCGCUGAAGGAAUGGCCUGCGGCCCAUUAGCUAGUUGGUGAGGUAAGAGCCCACCAAGGCGAUGAUGGGUAUCCGGCCUUAGAGGGUGAACGGACACAUUGGGACUGAGAUACGGCCCAGACUCCUACGGGAGGCAGCAGCUAAGAAUAUUCCGCAAUGGACGAAAGUCUGACGGAGCGACGCCGCCGUGGAUGAAGAAGGCCGGAAGGUUGUAAAAUCCUUUUGAAACUGAAGAAUAAGCGUUGUAGGGAAUGACAGCGUGGUGACAGUAGGUUUUGAAUAAGCAACGGCUAAUUACGUGCCAGCCGCGGC
rnacentral:rRNA from 1 species